rnacentral:lncRNA from 1 species
GCGUAUAUCAGUAUUUCUAACUUUGAAUAAUAUAUAUUCAAAUUGUACAAACCAAGAAAGAGGCAAGUAGGACAGUGUUUGAAAAGACGAAGAACAUGAUGCCAUAUACAAACUUGCAGAGGUCUACUUCAAUUUUUCUAACUCUUUGCAUUUUCUUUUAUCUUUGUAUCUUUGUUCCAAGUAGAAUUUUGGUAGUAAUAAUUAUAUAUUUUUUCAUUUUCUUUUAUCCUCUAACCUUAAUUAUAUGUUUUCUUCAUUUUUUUUUUCUCUGUUUAUCUUUGUAUUUUGUUCUAAGUCCAUAAGACGACAGUUGUUUCAUAUUACCGUCAUCUGAAAUAGAACACUACGACAGUAAGUAACUAUAGUCGGGUGAAAUUCAUACUACGACCUUGUUCUUAACAAAGGUCGUGUGAAAUAGAAUACUACGAUGGUAGUUUUCAAAAACCGUCAUGUUUCAUUAUUUAAAAAGCUUGAAAUAUUUUAACUUGUUGUCUUUGUGUGGGUUAUAUUCUUUCAUUCCUUUAUAAUCAUGGUUUCAAAAACUCAAAGUAAGAAUGACAAGUCAGUUGUAAAGAAGCUACACAAGUCCCAUAAGAAUUGAUUCCUCUAAUGAGAAAU